GAGCAGAUAGUUCCAGGUGGUGCAGUUCCUAUUCCAGAGGACCCAAAUAGCUCAUCCAUUUGCUGCAGAAAAAGCACAAUGUGAUACGAAAGUGACUUUGUAAUAAGAUGCAAAAUGAUCUUAUACAGUGCAGUCUUAGACUUACUGUGUAGUACUCCCAGGUUUGCUUUCCCUCCCCAGUUGCACGGCGGCGAUCCUUAACUCUUUUUCUUAGGUGCCAUACCUUGUGAUUCAGGGCGGUCUAUCUGGACGGAGGAUGGGUUUCUGGCUCCUGAAGGAUUACCACCCACUGCAUCGGUUUUUAGGGUGGUAGUCGGUAGGUCCUGGCUAAUAGGUGUCUGUUGCACAGGGCACUGGCUGGUUGGUGGUUUCACAAAACUGAGAUUUAGGGGUACAGGUGACUCAGUGGAGGUAGAGGGACAUAGAGAAGGAGGUGGGGAAACACUGCAGCACAAGCUAGAUCGCUGAUACUGUAGGAGCUAUUUAGAGAGAAAGCUGAAAAUUUAGUUGUCACUUAUGUGUCCAGUAUGUGUUUGUUCAUCACAAGUGUUUACCUUGUUUUGUGUCAACGGCUGUAACUUUUGCCAUGACAUCAGAGAGGAACAUCUGGGGAAAUGCUCAAAACUAUCACACAGUCCUCUCUCUGGAACUUUCUUGAAGGUCUCCAUUGACUAUGCCUUUCUAAACUUGUUUUGUGAUUUGUUUUUAUUUUUGUCUUUGCAUUUAAGAAUUUAUAGCCAUUAGAAUGUUGCCUGUUGUUAAGAUACCUGUACCACUGCUGUUGUUUUGUUGAAAAAUUUAAUAAAAAUCACACAAAUCAUUGUUAA